rnacentral:rRNA from 1 species
UGCUCGAAAGAGAGCCGUAACACAGGUGCUGCAUGGCUGUCGUCAGCUCGUGUCGUGAGAUGUUGGGUUAAGUCCCGCAACGAGCGCAACCCUUGUCAUUAGUUGCUACAUUCAGUUGGGCACUCUAAUGAGACUGCCGGUGACAAGCCGGAGGAAGGUGGGGAUGACGUCAAGUCCUCAUGGCCCUUAUAGGUGGGGCUACACACGUCAUACAAUGGCUGGUACAAAGGGUUGCCAACCCGCGAGGGGGAGCCAAUCCCAUAAAGCCAGUCGUAGUCCGGAUCGUAGUCUGCAACUCGACUACGUGAAGUCGGAAUCGCUAGUAAUCGUGGAUCAGAAUGUCACGGUGAAUACGUUCCCGGGUCUU